GGUACUGAGUGGGAAUGAUUAGAAUAAAAUUGAGGACUCUAGCAGCGGACUUAGAAUGGUAUCAGCGGGUUCUCAUCCUACAACCUGACUUUGGAAGUUGGAGAUAAGGGGUGUCUAGGGGUUGGGUCAGACUCCAGUUUUGGAGUCUGACUCACAGUUGGGCGGAGCCAAGGCCCCCUGAGGCUGAGCCAGAACCUCUGAGAGUGAACCUGGAGACUCAGAGGGCAGCUGGCAGGGCUCACAGUGUGGGGUCCCACCCUGCAGAGGCUGGGUCAGGCCCUCAAGGGCUGGGUUGCUGGCUUCAAGAGGCUGGGCCAGGAUGUCAAGGGGCGGAGUUCCGGGUUCCACAGCUGGGACAGUGUUGCCCAGAGCUGAUUCCUGGGACUUGCAGAAACGUGCGAAGCUGCUCCUGCCGCACGUCCACCAGGUACCUGCAGAUGGGAAGCGCCCUGUCAGGGACCCAGAUUUUGAUCCCCAGCCAGGAUGUUCCCCACCCUCCACCCCACUGACUCACCGGGCUAAUUCCACAAUCAAGUUCCCUCCGGGUGCCACACAGGCCCCAAGCUCAGGGAUGAGAAGAUGGACCAUACUGCAGAGAGGACGGAGGACAGGCUGAGAUUCAGCUCCAAAUCCGGAGGGAGGAUGGGGCUCUGGGAUCCCAGACAAUGAGGGAGGAGGGGUGGCAAAACUGGAGUCUGGGUCCUGGGGAAAGAAGGGAGCAGGAGGUCUGGACUCCUGGGUCUGAGGGAGGAGGGGCUGGGGGCCUGGACCCCUGGGUCUAAGCAAGGAGGGGCUGGGGGCCUGGACUCCUGGGUCUGAGGGAGGAGGGGCUGGGGGCCUGAUCCUGGGUCUUUGUGAGCACAGCUGCCUCCCCGCUUACCCACAGGCCACAUAGAGGAGCUGGAAUCGGCCGUUGUAGCAGCUCUUGUGGUGGAGAGUCUGAGCAGAAUUGAGCGGCAGGAAGUGGACGGAGGCUCUCGUCGUCCGCUUCGAUGCCGAAGGCCACGAAGGGCCCCGUGGCGAUGUCCCCCCAGUACCCGCGCGCUGCCACGCGCUCCCCACGCUGGAAAAGGAGGGAGAGAGGAGGCAGGUAAUCUAGAGAUGAUUUGCGGUGUAUGGGACCAUGUGUACAGGCUAUUUGCUGCUGCUGCACUGGCCUCGUCCCUGGAUCCCUCGCCGCAGAUCUGUCCUACACAGGGUUCCAGAGGAGUCAUCCUAACACCAUCUGACCCUGUCCCUCUCAUGCUCAAAACAUAUUUGUAGCCUUCAUCACCUUCAUGACAUGGAUACUGCUGAGUUCUCCAGACACUUCACUCCAGAGUGCAGCUAUUGUGAGAAAUGACUCUUUGUUCCCCAAAUAAGCCUCAGAAUCUGGAUAUGGGGCCUGAAUCUGGAUAUGGGGCCUCAACACAUGCUCCAACUUGGACUAGAAUGUCCUUCUCUCUGGUCUCAGUUAACUCUGUCCCUCAGGUCUCAGUGCAGAAGUCACCUCCACCACGAAGCCUCCUCUGUCUGACCCUCUGUUUUAAACUUUUUCCUACUGUAAAUAUGUCCCAUUUUCUGAAAAAAAUCAGCAUAUUUUAAAGUAUUCUGGCAC
rnacentral:lncRNA from 10 species